rnacentral:rRNA from 1 species
CAUGGCUCAGGAUGAACGCUGACAGAAUGCUUAACACAUGCAAGUCUUUGGCAAAUCUGUGCUUGCACAGCCUAGCCAAGGCGGACGGGUGAGUAACGCGUAAAGAACUUGCCCUGCAGACAGGGAUAACAGACGGAAACGACUGAUAACACCUGAUACAAUUGCCGGCACGCAUGUGCCUGGCAAUGAAAAGAGAUGCUGCAGGAGAGCUUUGCGUCCUAUUAGCUUGUUGGUGAGGUAACGGCUCACCAAGGCGAUGAUAGGUAGCCGGCCUGAGAGGGUGAACGGCCACAAGGGGACUGAGAUACGGCCCUUACUCCUACGG